UACAGAGGGUGCGAGCGUUGUUCGGAAUUAUUGGGCGUAAAGCGCGCGCAGGCGGUCUUCCAAGUCAGUGGUGAAAGCCUGGAGCUCAACUCCAGAACUGCCAUUGAAACUGUUAGACUUGAGUACGAGAGAGGUGAGUGGAAUUCCCAGUGUAGAGGUGAAAUUCGUAGAUAUUGGGAAGAACACCAGUGGCGAAGGCGGCUCACUGGCUCGUAACUGACGCUCAGGCGCGACAGCGUGGGGAUCAAACAGG
rnacentral:rRNA from 1 species